GGGGUUGUGGCUCAGUGGUAGAGUGCUCACCUAGUAUGUGAGGUGCUAGGUUCAACCCUCAGUACCA
rfam:Ictidomys tridecemlineatus contig066104, whole genome shotgun sequence.